AGCAACUCAGUGGAGCAAUGAUAUGAUUGAUUAGCCAGACUAUUGUGAAGCUGAAAGAUUUUGCAUGUAGUGAGGAUAUGUGAUUAUGUAGUAUGAUUAUGAUAUUGAGAAGUAAAUUAAGGUGGCUACAAGUUUUGGAAGUUUCUGCAGUUAUUUGAAAUAAUGUUGUAAUUCCUGUUACACUAUAUGUCAAGCCUGCGUGGAGUUUUUGUGAUAAUAUUCUUCAUAGAUAUUAGUUCUUCCAAGUUUCAAGAAUUACAGGGAUCUUCUCUAAGAAUUGCAAAGAAAACUGUGCUAUAUUAC
rnacentral:misc_RNA from 1 species